UACGGAGGUGGCAAGCGUUGCUCGGAAUCACUGGGCGUAAAGGGCGCGUAGGCGGGGAGGUAAGUCGGGUGAUGAAAUCCCUCGGCCCAACUGAGGAACUGCGCUCGAGACUGCUUCUCUUGAGUCCCGGAGAGGAAGAUGGAAUUCCCGGUGUAGCGGUGAAAUGUGUAGAGAUCGGGAGGAACAUCAGUUGCGAAGGCGGCUCUCUGGACCAGCACUGACACUGAGGCACGAAAGCGUGGGGAGCAAACAGG
rnacentral:rRNA from 1 species